rnacentral:piRNA from 1 species
UGGUAACCUGCAAUCUGUCUCCUCUCCAU